rnacentral:rRNA from 1 species
GAUGAACGCUGGCGGCGUGCCUAAUACAUGCAAGUCGAGCGAACAGACGAGGAGCUUGCUCCUCUGACGUUAGCGGCGGACGGGUGAGUAACACGUGGAUAACCUACCUAUAAGACUGGGAUAACUUCGGGAAACCGGAGCUAAUACCGGAUAACAUGUUGAACCGCAUGGUUCAACAGUGAAAGACGGUCUUGCUGUCACUUAUAGAUGGAUCCGCGCCGCAUUAGCUAGUUGGUAAGGUAACGGCUUACCAAGGCAACGAUGCGUAGCCGACCUGAGAGGGUGAUCGGCCACACGGGAACUGAGACACGGUCCAGAAUCCUACGGGAGGCAGCAGUAGGGAAUCUUCCGCAAUGAGCAAAAUCCUGACGGAGCAACGCCGCGUGAGUGAAGAAGGUCUUCGGAUCGUAAAACUCUGUUAUUAGGGAAGAACAAAUGGGUAAGUAACUAUGCACGUCUUGACGGUACCUUAUCAGAAAGCCACGGCUAACUACGUG